GAUGAAGAACGCAGCGAAAUGCGAUAAGUAAUGUGAAUUGCAGAAUUCAGUGAAUCAUCGAAUCUUUGAACGCACCUUGCACCCUUUGGCAUUCCGAAGGGUAUGCUCGUUUGAGUGUCAUUGUGCUCUCACACUUCUGAUCCUUUGGAUUGGGAGCGGUGGACUUGGGUGUUGCUGCUUUACUGUGGCUCACCUCAAAUGCAUUCGUGCAACUCUUGGUUGGACAUAGUACGGCGUGAUAAGUAUCUUCGCCGGCACCUCGCAAGAGGGUGGCUGAUCAGGAGCUCUGUGCUUUCCAACUGUCUUCAGACAACAACUGACAACUUGACCUCAAAUCGAGUAGGACCACCCGCUGAACUUAAGCAUAUCAAUAAGCGGAGGA
rnacentral:misc_RNA from 1 species